rnacentral:rRNA from 1 species
AGCGAACGCUGGCGGCAGGCUUAACACAUGCAAGUCGAGCGGGCGUAGCAAUACGUCAGCGGCAGACGGGUGAGUAACGCGUGGGAACGUACCUUUUGGUUCGGAACAACUGAGGGAAACUUCAGCUAAUACCGGAUAAGCCCUAACGGGGAAAGAUUUAUCGCCGAAAGAUCGGCCCGCGUCUGAUUAGCUAGUUGGUGAGGUAACGGCUCACCAAGGCGACGAUCAGUAGCUGGUCUGAGAGGAUGAUCAGCCACACUGGGACUGAGACACGGCCCAGACUCCUACGGGAGGCAGCAGUGGGGAAUAUUGGACAAUGGGGGCAACCCUGAUCCAGCCAUGCCGCGUGAGUGAUGAAGGCCCUAGGGUUGUAAAGCUCUUUUGUGCGGGAAGAUAAUGACGGUACCGCAAGAAUAAGCCCCGGCUAACUUCGUGCCAGCAGCCGCGGUAAUACGAAGGGGGCUAGCGUUGCUCGGAAUCACUGGGCGUAAAGGGUGCGUAGGCGGGUCUUUAAGUCAGAGGUGAAAUCCUGGAGCUCAACUCCAGAACUGCCUUUGAUACUGAGGAUCUUGAGUCCGGAAGAGGUGAGUGGAACUGCGAGUGUAGAGGUGAAAUUCGUAGAUAUUCGCAAGAACACCAGUGGCGAAAGCGGCUCACUGGUCCCGUACUGACGCUGAAGCACGAAAGCGUGGGGAGCAAACAGG